GACGUAGGAGGCGAGCGUUGUCCGGAUUCAUUGGGCGUAAAGAACACGCAGGCGGUUUGGCAAGUCGGAUGUGAAAACCCGGAGCUCAACUCCGGACCUGCAUCCGAAACUGCCCGACUAGAGGUAGGUAGGGGAGAUCGGAAUUCCUGGUGUAGCGGUGAAAUGCGCAGAUAUCAGGAGGAACACCGGUGGCGAAGGCGGCGCUCUGGGCCGGUACUGACACUGAGGAGCGAAAGCGUGGGUAGCAAACAGG
rnacentral:rRNA from 1 species